rnacentral:rRNA from 1 species
AUAACAGGUCUGUGAUGCCCUUAGAUGUCCGGGGCUGCACGCGCGCUACACUGACUGGCUCAGCGUGUGCCUACCCUACGCCGGCAGGCGCGGGUAACCCGUUGAACCCCAUUCGUGAUGGGGAUCGGGGAUUGCAAUUAUUCCCCAUGAACGAGGAAUUCCCAGUAAGUGCGGGUCAUAAGCUUGCGUUGAUUAAGUCCCUGCCCUUUGUACACACCGCCCGUCG